CCCUUAGAUGUCCUGGGCCGCACGCGCGCUACACUGAGUGUCUGAGAUACGAGUCUGCCUGGUCCGGCAAGGUCUAGGUAAUCGCUAAAAGACACAUCAUGCUUGGGAUAGAUUAUUGCAAAUAUUAAUCUUGAACGAGGAAUUCCUAGUAAGCGCAAGUCAACAGCUUGCGUUGAUUACGUCCCUGCCCUUUGUACACACCGCCCGUCGCUACUACUGAUUGGAUGUUUAAGCGAGGUUCUCGAGCUGCUAGCGACUUAGCUUCGGUGAGGUCGCAGUGUGGGAAGUGAACCUAGCUUUGGUGUCUAGAGGAAGUAAAAGUCGUAACA
rnacentral:rRNA from 1 species